rnacentral:rRNA from 1 species
CCUGAACGCUGGCGGCGUGGCUAAGACAUGCAAGUCGCACGGUGUAGCAAUACACAGUGGCGAACGGGUGAGUAAUGUAUCGCUAAUGUACCCCGGACUCUGGGAUAGCUAGCCGAAAGGUUAGGUAAUACCAGAUGAUAUAAUCCUCCCGCAUGGGAAGGAUUCUCAAAGGUCCGCCGGUCUGGGAGCAGGCGAUAUCGUAUCAGCUAGUUGGUGAGGUAACGGCUCACCAAGGCGACGACGCGUAGCCGGACUGAGAGGUUGGCCGGCCACAUUGGGACUGAGACACUGCCCAGACUCCUACGGGGGGCUGCAGUAACGAAUCUUCCGCAAUGCACGAAAGUGUGACGGAGCGACGCCGCGUGUAGGACGAAGCCCUUCGGGGUGUAAACUACUGUCAGGGGUUAGAAAGUUCUGAUCAACCCCAGAGGAAGGCACGGCUAACUCUGUGCCAGCAGCCGCGGUAAGACAGAGGUGCCAAGCGUUAGGCGGAAUCACUGGGCUUAAAGCGUGUGUAGGCGGACUCCUAAGUACCUUGUGAAAUCCCACGGCUCAACCGUGGAACUGCUUGGUAUACUGGGU